UUAUAUAUCAUAUCACAUAAAGAAAGGUUUCCUUCAAAUAAAACUUCUCUUCCAAUCUAAGAUCAAUGAUCAAAUAUGUAGAACAAUAAUUUUUCAAUUUAAUUCAUCUCAGCGAGCAUUGGAACUCAUCGGGUGAAAAAAUUGGUGAAUAUUUUGGAAGCGGUUAUGUGACUACCAACUGCAAGACAGCAACCAGACAGACCACCAAAUAAUGAUCGUAAGAAGGGAUUCAAUGAAGAAAGUUUGCCCCAAAUUGCCGGAUCAAGCUCAAGAACUUUUGAAUAUUGACCAUCUUUCGUCACCAAUGUGCUUAAUCAAUCAAAUAAUUUUUUUUUAGAAGCUUCCAUUAAUAAUGUACUAUAUUAUUUGCAUCUGGAGUAAGUGUUCUCAUAAUGAUUGUUGUAUUAAUAGCCGUCAUCAUUGGCAAAAUUGGGGAGACUUUUCUUUUAGCAUGUUUUGAUCAAUUUAAAAAAAAAAAAACAA